CGUUUCUCUGUCGCCGUCGGAGGUGUCUUGGUUCAAGAUCCCAUAUGAUCUGAGUCGCAACCCCUACCNGUUAGUUUGCCAUCAGGUCAAUGCUGGAGCACUCUGGCGGGACUGCCGGAUGUAAGCCGAUGGAGGAAGGUGGGGAUGACGUCAAAUCACACGGGCCCUUACGUCCGGGGCUACACACGUGUUACAAUGGUAGGUACAGAGGGCAGCUACCCUGCGAAGGGAUGCGAAUCUCAAAGCCUAUCUCAAUUCGGAUUGGAGGCUGAAACCCGCCUCCAUGAANUUGGAUUCGCUA
rnacentral:rRNA from 1 species